rnacentral:rRNA from 1 species
GAGUAGGGCGGGACACGUGGUAUCCUGUCUGAAUAUGGGGGGACCAUCCUCCAAGGCUAAAUACUCCUGACUGACCGAUAGUGAACCAGUACCGUGAGGGAAAGGCGAAAAGAACCCCGGCGAGGGGAGUGAAAAAGAACCUGAAACCGUGUACGUACAAGCAGUGGGAGCCUCUUUAUGGGGUGACUGCGUACCUUUUGUAUAAUGGGUCAGCGACUUAUAUUCUGUAGCAAGGUUAACCGUAUAGGGGAGCCGAAGGGAAACCGAGUCUUAACUGGGCGUUAAGUUGCAGGGUAUAGACCCGAAACCCGGUGAUCUAGCCAUGGGCAGGUUGAAGGUUGGGUAACACUAACUGGAGGACCGAACCGACUAAUGUUGAAAAAUUAGCGGAUGACCUGUGGCUGGGGGUGAAAGGCCAAUCAAACCGGGAGAUAGCUGGUUCUCCCCGAAAGCUAUUUAGGUAGCGCCUCGUGAACUCAUCUUCGGGGGUAGAGCACUGUUUCGGCUAGGGGGCCAUCCCGGCUUACCAACCCGAUGCAAACUACGAAUACCGAAGAAUGUUAUCACGGGAGACACACGGCGGGUGCUAACGUCCGUCGUGAAGAGGGAAACAACCCAGACCGCCAGCUAAGGUCCCAAAGUCAUGGUUAAGUGGGAAACGAUGUGGGAAGGCACAGACAGCCAGGAUGUUGGCUUAGAAGCAGCCAUCAUUUAAAGAAAGCGUAAUAGCUCACUGGUCGAGUCGGCCUGCGCGGAAGAUGUAACGGGGCUAAACCAUGCAC